UGCGCGUAACCGCGCAUUUGCCAUUACCUCAGAGAUCAGCAAGAUGGCGACUUUGAGUACUGCUUCCACUGUUUCCAUGUGAGUUCAGCUAGCCCCAAAUUCAGUUAAGUCUUUGCUUAUGAAUCCCUUCGAAAGAAGAACAUUUGCAGAAAAAUUGCAAGUAAAAGAACUCGGAGCAGAAAAGCCAGAAGUGAACAUAACCCAACAAGCAAGAGAAAAGGAUAGAGCCUACAAGAGAAGUUUUUCCCGAGUUUGGUUCAGGCUUGGCAAACUAGCUGUGGGUAUGCCAUUGCAAUUUUUUGCUUUCCUUGUAUACUUUUUAAAACAAGUGCGUGUGAUAGUUCGUGGACACAGACCUGACGUAGGAGGAAUGACACAUUCUGUCAGAACGGAUAAAGAAAAACAAGCGAGCAAGAGUUCAUAUAAACAACUGUGUGAAGCUAGCCACGCUAGAGGCCUACCUACAGGUCUAGCCAAUCCAAAGUGACCCGAGCUCCUAACAUCGCCACUCUACCACCACUUUACAGAGAGGCUGGGCCUGCAGUCACCACACACUGAGCAGACGGCGCUGCCAUAGUAAAAACAAAUAUAUAUAUCAUUUUUUAUAUAUUCAUUUUUUUUUGUAACAUGCUGAAAACAGUGUGUGGCCGGCGUGCCCCCGUGUGCCCCGCCCACUACAGCCCUGGUAACGACUGAUCAUUCUCAAUUAUUAGAUACAUUUUUAAUGAAGUGCAAUAAAUGUUCGCUCCAGCCACAUGCACCGUGAUUCCAUCCCAGUGUCUGUAUUUUCUAAUUUCUACAGGACGCCCUCUGUAAAAUAUCUACGGUGGCCUGCGUGGACACACUGGAGGGAGACAGUGAAGGACACGUCCGCUUCAAGACCCCCGAGGAAGCCCAGGCCGUCGUCAACGACCGCUCGGCCGUCGCCAAGGAACACGGCUGGACGCUGGAUCUGCUCUCCGGUGAUCAUGAGUAAAGGUAUUGGCAGAAGAUUUUGGUGGACCGCCAAGUGAAGUUGAAAGAAAGGAGGAACAGAAAAGGUGGGAGAAAAAUACAAAUAUGAACUCCAUGUCUGGUUGGAAAUGCAUGCAGGUGAUAUCUCCUUUAAAACUCUAUUGUCGUUAUGUGUGUGUGUGUGUUAUACGGUGGGCAAUGGGAUUGUACGGUGGGCAAAUGGGAUUCAGCCAAUAUGGCGGCUUGGAAUGUGCGUUUUCUUAAACGGGUGCAUCCAGCAAAAGUCUAGGUGGACACGCCCACUUGUGAUGUCACAUAAUAAUGGGUUGUCUGCCACACACACACACACACACACACACCUACCUAAGCAGUACUCGGUGUAGUAGUACUCAAGAGUAGCAGUACUCAGCGUAGAAGUACUCCGUGUAGAAUUAUGUGUUUAUUCAUUGAAGAGACCAAGCUUCACUGAGUCCACUGAGCUAGAUGUAUCUAGAUCUAUAGAGCUGUAUAGUCCAGUAAGCUAGAUGUAUCUAGAUCUAUAGAGCUGUAAAGUCCAGUAAGAUAGAUGUAUCUAGAUCUACAGAUCUGUAUAGUCCACUGAGCUAGACGAAUCUAGAUCUACAGAUCUGUAUAGUCCACUGAGCUAGAUGUAUCUAGAUCUACAGAUCUGUAUAGUCCACUGAGCUAGAUGUAUCUAGAUCUACAGAUCUGUAUAGUCCAGUGAGCUAGAUGUUUCUAGAUAUAUAGAGCUGUAUAGUCCAGUGAGCUAGAUGUUUCUAGAUAUAUAGAGCUGUAUAGUCCAGUAAGCUAGAUGUUUCUAGAUCUACAGAGUUGAAUAGUCCAGUGAGCUAGAUGUACAGUAUCUAGAUCUACAGAGUUGUAUAGUCCAGUGAGCUAGAUGUAUCUAGAUCUACAGAUCUGUAUAGUCCAGUGAGCUAGAUGUAUCUAGAUCUAUAGAGCUGUAUAGUCCAGUGAGCUAAAUGUAUCUAGAUCUACAGAGCUGUAUUGUCCACUGAGCUAGAUGUAUCUAGUUCUACAGAUCUGUAUAGUCCACUGAGCUAGAUGUAUCUAGAUCUACAGAUCUGUAUAGUCCAGUGAGCUAGAUGUUUCUAGAUAUAUAGAGCUGUAUAGUCCAGUAAGCUAGAUGUUUCUAGAUUAGGGCUGGGAAUCGAUCCGAAUUUCCUGGAUCGAUCCGAUUCCGAUUCAUAAGGUCACGAUCCGAUUCGAUCCACGAUUCGAUCCGAUUCGAUUCGAUAUCGAUCUAUUUACAGACAUAAUGCAAAUAAAUACUGUCCCAUAGACAAAACAGCUCCAUGUGUUUGUGAUUGUAUCUGUGUACGUGUAAGAGGGACACAGAGAGAGAAGAGUCAAGAAUCAAGUAUUUAUUUUAGACAAAAAUCCAAGUAUUAUUUGAAAUUUAUUUAUUUUUAUUUUUUUAUUUUUUUUAUUAAUUAAAGAUCGAUCCAGUCAUUUUUGGAUCGAUAUCGUGCUUUUUGAGCAUGAAUCGAUAUCGGAUCGCGGAUCGAUUUUUUGAACACAGCCCUAUUCUAGAUCUACAGAGUUGAAUAGUCCAGUGAGCUAGAUGUACAGUAUCUAGAUCUACAGAGUUGUAUAGUCCAGUGAGCUAGAUGUAUCUAGAUCUGUAGAGCUGUAUAGUCCAGUGAGCUAGAUGUAUCUAGAUCUACAGAGCUGUAUAGUCCAGUGAGCUAGAUGUAUCUAGAUCUACAGAUCUGUAUAGUCCAGUGAGCUAGAUGUAUCUAGAUCUAUAGAGCUGUAUAGUCCAGUGAGCUAGAUGUAUCUAGAUCUAUAGAGCUGUAUAGUCCAGUGAGCUAGAUGUAUCUAGAUCUACAGAGCUGUAUUGUCCAGUGAGCUAGAUGUAUCUAGAUCUACAGAGCUGUAUAGUCCAGUGAGCUAAAUGUAUCUAGAUCUACAGAGCUGUAUAGUCCAGUGAGCUAGAUGUAUCUAGAUCUAUAGAGCUGUAUAGUCCAGUGAGCUAGAUGUAUCUAGAUCUACAGAGCUGUAUAGUCCAGUGAGCUAGAUGUAUCUAGAUCUAUAGAGCUGUAUAGUCCAGUGAGCUAGAUGUAUCUAGAUCUACAGAGUUGUAUAGUCCAGUGAGCUAGAUGUAUCUAGAUCUAUAGAACUGUAUAGUCCAGUGAGCUAGAUGUAUCUAGAUCUACAGAGCUGUAUUGUCCGGUGAGCUAGAUGUAUCUAGAUCUACAGAUCUGUAUAGUCCAGUGAGCUAGAUGUAUCUAGAUCUACAGAGCUGUAUAGUCCAGUGAGCUAGAUGUAUCUAGAUCUACAGAGCUGUAUAGUCCAGUGAGCUAGAUGUAUCUAGAUCUAUAGAGUUGUAUAGUCCAGUGAGCUAGAUGUAUCUAGAUCUACAGAGCUGUAUAGUCAAGUGAGCUACACAAGUCACCAAGGUCUUGGUGUUGGUAGUGCCGUUAAUCAUAAGAGCAGUAAAAACAAAUUAUUCUCACCAACUGGUUUGUGACGCUUGUCUGAAUCUAAGGAUCAAGAGAAAUGAAUUACACACACACACACACACACGGCCUGAUUGGGUGCCAUGCAGGAAAAAACAUUGAUUCCCAUCGCUCGUCUUUUUCUCUGGGUGAUAAGAUUCAGUUUUAUUCCUUUCCUGAGAUUUAAGAAUACUUUAAAAAUAGCUAGAGGGAUACAUCUUCAUACAGCACUCCCAAUAAGGAGGUAACCCAUUUGAACACACAUUAGAGAACACCCCCAAGCAUAAGCACGAAUUCGACUUUGUUUAUCUUAUUAGUUGACCCCUGCCUUUAAACUUAUUUCUCUAAUUCAGCCAUUCAGUAAGUCAGUUAAAUUAUUCAAUCAGAUUCAUUCAGUGAGUUGGGCUUUUUAAUUUCCUGAUGGGUUGUUAUUUACCGCAGACGUCUUACAACUGAAACAACAUGAGGUCAUUGUUAGGGCUGUGUUCAAAAAAUCGAUCCGCGAUCCGAUAUCGAUUCAUGCUCAAAAAGCACGAUAUCGAUCCAAAAAUGUCUGGAUCGAUCUUUAAUUAAUAAAAAAAAAUAAAAUUUUUUUUUUUUUUUAAAUUUCAAAUAAUACUUGGAUUUUUGUCUAAAAUAAAUACUUGAUUCUUGACUCUUCUCUCUCUGUGUCCCUCUUACACGUACACAGAUACAAUCACAAACACAUGGAGCUGUUUUGUCUAUGGGACAGUAUUUAUUUGCAUUAUGUCUGUAAAUAGAUCGAUAUCGAAUCGAAUCGGAUCGAAUCGUGGAUCGAAUCGGAUCGUGACCUUAUGAAUCGGAAUCGGAUCGAUCCAGGAAAUUCGGAUCGAUUCCCAGCCCUAGUCAUUGUCGAGGAACGACUCUGAGCUGAGGUUCACAUGCAGGUUUCAGUUGGGGAAAAAAAAUCUGUUGCCCAAAAGGCAUGGGUCUACAGAGACCACACCAAAGAGCUUGUAACGGAAGGGUUAGCUCGCUCUCUCUCUCUCUCU